rnacentral:rRNA from 1 species
CACGUAGGGCGCAAGCGUUGUCCGGAAUUAUUGGGCGUAAAGAGCUCGUAGGCGGACUGUCACGUCUGCUGUGAAAAGCUGGGGCUUAACCCUGGCCUUGCAGUGGAUACGGGCAGACUAGGGAUGAGUGAGGGGAGAAUGGAAUUCCCGGUGUAGCGGUGAAAUGCGCAGAUAUCGGGAGGAACACCGGUGGCGAAGGCGGUUCUCUGGGCCUUACCUGACGCUGAGGAGCGAAAGCGUGGGGAGCGAACAGG